CAUUUUAGUUUGUUGAUAUUGAAGCCUUUCCGUGUCCAUGCUAAGAAGUUCAUGCAUUCCCCACAAGUGGCUAGAUCAUCUGUGAUAGUUAAUUGGUUAUGUUAACCUGGGUGAGAAGUGCCCAACUAAACUGGAUCAGCUGAGUUCUGGCUAUGGCUGAGGGGACUUACGGAAGACAGAAGACCUGCCCUGGUUAGGCUUGCCACGUGAGAAGUAUAAAAGCACGAGGGACACUACAGUGAGCUUCAGGCCUUGGACUGGAUCCUUUAGAUCUCAGGAAAAAGAACACCAAGAAGAGAAAAGGAACCAACUAUCAGAAGGGAAAAUCAAAUGGCCACCAAGUAUGAAGUAAUGGUCAAACACAUAUAAAUGACAAAGUGGGGGCCC